CGUGCGAAGGUAGCGUAAUCACUUGUUCUUUAAAUGAGGACUAGUAUGAAUGGCCCCACGAGGGCUGCACUGUCUCCUUUUUCUAAUCAAUGAAACUAAUCUCCCCGUGAAGAAGCGGGGAUAACCAUAUAAGACGAGAAGACCCUAUGGAGCUUUAAACAACUGAAACAAUUGCUUUUCCUUUAGCUUCUCCCGAGCUCUUUAUUUUACCUAAGCAUCUUUAUUUCUAGUUUUAGGUUGGGGUGACCACGGAGCAAAACUAAACCUCCAUGAAGAAACAAGUAUUUUUAAGCUACAAACUACUUUUUUAAGCAUCAACAAAUUGACCUUCAUUGACCCAAUAUAUUGAUCAACGAACCAAGUUACCCUAGGGAUAACAGCGCAAUCUACUUCAAGAGCUCAUAUCGACAAGUAGGUUUACGACCUCGAUGUUGGAUCAGGGUGUCCUAGUGG
rnacentral:rRNA from 1 species